AAGUGUUGCCUAUUUUGGAGCAGCAAAACAGGAUUCGAGCCAUCGAAGGAGUUUCUUCGCCACCACCGAAAGAUAAAAACCUUAAAGAAAAACUAAGAAAAAUUUCAAUUGAAAUAUUUCUUACUCGAAAUUUUUAAGAAUUUCAAGAUUUAUUGCGGGGGUUCUUUUUCCCUUCCCAGACUUCUCCUAAUUUAGCUCAAUAAUCUAACUUAUAUAGAAGGGAAUUGAGGGGGUCCUUUUGAAGCCCCCACGAUGUGGUAGAAAAAGAAAUUCAAGGGCAAUUUGGGAAUUUUUAAAAAAAGGAAAUUUUUUCAAAAUUUGAACAGAAAGGGAUAUGAAAUUUACUUUUUUCCCUUGAAUUCAUGAACCCGGACGAGAAAGUGGUUGGAUUCAUGGAUGCUUUUGGGGGAAAAACUGGAUUUAACAUAACAAAUAGGAUUCAGAUGAAUACGUCCUGUGAUAGUACAAAACUAACAAAUUUUAUACAGGUCUUCUCAAAAAUUCAUACCUCGAAUUGAUGUGGUGUCGUUUGGAUGAGAUGAAGGUAGUUGAUGGGUUGGGUUGUUGGGUUUUUGCUGGUCGUCAGAAUCGGGCAUGGAUUGGAGUUGGGUUACUGAAUUCAGGUAUCGUUGUUGCUGUUAACGUUGAUGUUGAUGUUGGAUUUUGACGAUUUUGGGUAGCGGGUUGUUCGGAGUUGUUGUCGAUGAUGUUGUUGUUUUCUCUAGGGUUGGAUCGCAUAUUUUUUCUGUGGAUUUUUCAGUUUAGGUCAGGUAAGAAUUAUUGUCGGCUGUAAUUUUUUACGCGUAUUGUUGCUGUGGGUGUUUGGCUGCUAUUGCUUAUUGAAUGAAGGACUUGGGCCGAGUAAUGGAUAAGUGAGUUGGGGCGGUGAUGGGGGAUUGGUGUUGUUUGUUAU
rnacentral:lncRNA from 1 species